UACGGAGGGUGCAAGCGUUAUCCGGAUUCACUGGGUUUAAAGGGUGCGUAGGCGGGUUUUUAAGUCAGCGGUGAAAGCUCCGAGCUUAACUCGGAAAUUGCCGUUGAUACUAUUAAUCUUGAAUUUAGUUGAGGUGGGCGGAAUGUGUAGUGUAGCGGUGAAAUGCUUAGAUAUUACACAGAACACCUAUUGCGAAGGCAGCUCGCGUAAACUAAUAUUGACGCUGAGGCACGAAAGCGUGGGGAUCAAACAGG
rnacentral:rRNA from 1 species